rnacentral:rRNA from 1 species
AUACAUGCAAGUCGAGCGAACAGACGAGGAGCUUGCUCCUCUGACGUUAGCGGCGGACGGGUGAGUAACACGUGGAUAACCUACCUAUAAGACUGGGAUAACUUCGGGAAACCGGAGCUAAUACCGGAUAAUAUAUUGAACCGCAUGGUUCAAUAGUGAAAGACGGUUUUGCUGUCACUUAUAGAUGGAUCCGCGCCGCAUUAGCUAGUUGGUAAGGUAACGGCUUACCAAGGCAACGAUGCGUAGCCGACCUGAGAGGGUGAUCGGCCACACUGGAACUGAGACACGGUCCAGACUCCUACGGGAGGCAGCAGUAGGGAAUCUUCCGCAAUGGGCGAAAGCCUGACGGAGCAACGCCGCGUGAGUGAUGAAGGUCUUCGGAUCGUAAAACUCUGUUAUUAGGGAAGAACAAAUGUGUAAGUAACUAUGCACGUCUUGACGGUACCUAAUCAGAAAGCCACGGCUAACUACGUGCCAGCAGCCGCGGUAAUACGUAGGUGGCAAGCGUUAUCCGGAAUUAUUGGGCGUAAAGCGCGCGUAGGCGGUUUUUUAAGUCUGAUGUGAAAGCCCACGGCUCAACCGUGGAGGGUCAUUGGAAACUGGAAAACUUGAGUGCAGAAGAGGAAAGUGGAAUUCCAUGUGUAGCGGUGAAAUGCGCAGAGAUAUGGAGGAACACCAGUGGCGAAGGCGACUUUCUGGUCUGUAACUGACGCUGAUGUGCGAAAGCGUGGGGAUCAAACAGGAUUAGAUACCCUGGUAGUCCACGCCGUAAACGAUGAGUGCUAAGUGUUAGGGGGUUUCCGCCCCUUAGUGCUGCAGCUAACGCAUUAAGCACUCCGCCUGGGGAGUACGAC